rnacentral:rRNA from 1 species
GACAGCAGUCGCCGCGGGAAUACGUAGGGCGCAAGCGUUAUCCGGAAUUAUUGGGCGUAAAGAGCUCGUAGGCGGUUUGUCGCGUCUGCCGUGAAAGUCCGGGGCUCAACCCCGGAUCUGCGGUGGGUACGGGCAGACUAGAGUGAUGUAGGGGAGACUGGAAUUCCUGGUGUAGCGGUGAAAUGCGCAGAUAUCAGGAGGAACACCGAUGGCGAAGGCAGGUCUCUGGGCAUUAACUGACGCUGAGGAGCGAAAGCAUGGGGAGCGAACAGGAUUAGAUACCCCCGUAGUCCCUGUCUCUUAUAU